CCGCGGCCUCCUGGGAGUUGUAGUUCUCUGCAGGGAGGCUGGGAGGUGGUCGGGACUUACUCCUCCUCCGCCGUCGCCUGUUUUCGGCCUCGUUCUUCCGCCUACAAACCCUUGAGAGGAAUAGCUAUUGCCCUGCGGAAGGGCCUUUUACCUGCAGCUUUCCGCCCCCGGAGCAGAUGGUGACCAGAGUGUGGUCAUGGCAGCUGAGUCUUACAGCCACUCGGAAGGGGCCCUUCUCUCUUCAUCAGCAGGCUUAGUCCUUACUCAUUUGAAUGACUCUGACACGAUAAGCAGAUCCUUACCCUGUGGCAACAAAAGCAGGAGAAGUCGUCUCUCUGGGCUCUGUCAGCUUGGAGCAUCGCUGCCUGGGGAGAAGUGGAGCUCUUACUGUUUGUCUUCUCUGACAGCUCGUAACAUUUGUACCAGCAAAACUGAUAACUCAUGGGCUCGGUGGGAUUCUGCCUCUCUUUCUGCUUCCAUUGGAAGUUCUGCUUCUUGCUCCUUUUUACACACCUCAGCUGUGGAGGAAUCCAGCCAGCACCUCCCAGCUGCUGCACGCAACCCAAACCAAGCCAUCUUCACCGUGGAUGCCAGCACAACAGAGAUCCUAGUGGCCAAUGACCGAGCUUGCAAGUUGCUUGGGUGCAGUAGUCAGGAACUCAUUGGUCAAAAGCUGUCCCACUUGAUAUCCAAAUCUGAUCAAGAGGCAUGGGAAGCAGUGGGUGAGGAGUACCUAGAAACUUCUGAAUGUUCAACAGUGGUUUCAGGAACUGUGGUGGAAGUUGUUGGCCGCCUCAAUGAGAAGAUCCCUGUCUCAGUCUGGUUGAGGCAGAUAAGAAGCAAGGACACCCAGCAUUGUGUGGUUGUGUUGGAACCAGUGGAAAGACUUUCAGCUUGUGUUUCCUUCACGGUUGACGGAAAAAUUACAUCGUGUGACCUCCUUUAUGCUCAUCUCCAUGGCUACCCAACAUUGGAAACAGUAGUUGGACUCCACAUAAAGGACCUGAUUCCUUCUGUGCAGAUCCCUCCUCUAGGAAAAAAAAUCCCCAAGAAGCUCAGGAUCCAGCGAGCUGCAGGCAGAUCCAGAGAGGGCACCAUGUUUCCUCUCAGUUUAAAGCUGGAAGUCAGCCACCUGGAGGAGAAUCAAGCAGCAGUACAGAAAGAUGAGGUUCCACAGACAGAAGGCUUCCUCCCAGGCUAUCAGUACUCUGCUACAGUUGUGGUUUUCUCCACCAUCAGUGGUCUUAUCACUGUCCAGUCAGGUGGAAUCAUCUGUGGCAUCAUGGAUAGUCUUGCUUUAAUGCUCUUUGGCUAUGAGAAGAAAGAUCUUCUGGGAAAGAACAUUACAUUCCUGAUCCCUGGUUUCUAUAACAACAUGGAAAGAAGCAGUGGCUGUUCUGUGCCUUUACCUCCUCUGGGUGAUUUCAUGGGGACAGAAGAGAGCAGCUUCUUGGCUCCAUCUUUAGCACACCUUCUGUCAAGAGAUGAAGAGCAGAAACUGGAGCAACAACACAAAGAUGACAAAUUAAUACAUGAUGAGAAUAAACAAACAAAUGGGACCAGUUUCUUUUCUCCUCCCUCACCUCCUGAAGCAGCAUCCACCCCCACUAAUAGGUUGCCUGUUUGUUCCAGACUAGAAGACCAUGUGAACACAUCAUCCUGUGAGCCAGUGAAGCCUUCUGAAGUUACUUGUAAUUCACCUGGAACACCAACAAUGGAUGAGCCGUGGCCUGGGACAGCACUGAACUGCAGACAAGACUUUAAAAGCCACGUGGUUCCAGGGCAGGUGUCAGAAACAAACUCGAUGUGUGAUGCAAAACAUUCCAGCCUCGAGCACAUUGUUGUUGGCAACUGUCUGCUAAACGAUCCUUCGACCUUCUUUGCAUGUGAAAGAAAUAAUCUCUGUGAUGUUUGCUCAGGAAAUGAAACAAGCUGCAGUGCUUCUGCAUCAGGAACUGCCAGAACCUCUGAAGAUGUGAAAAAAUCUGAAUGGAACUGUAUUUGCUCUGGUCUUGAGGUACUGGGACUGAAUACCAAGGGGAACUCAGCUGUCAAGGGGAACUCAGACAAUUCUUUAGGUGUUACUGCAGUUCUUGAAGGAGGAUGUUGCUCUGAUGCAGCAGACUCCAAUAUGCCAGUUGAGACAAAUGAUGCUUUUUCCACUCAUCAAGGAGAGCAGCUACUGAGUGGUGUUGCCACAGAAGCUAAUUCUGGAUGGUUAGUCACCAGAAGGCAUUUACAAAACUCUGAGGAAUCCUCCAAAGCAUUUCCUGAGAAACCUGAAUUCCUUGCAGAAACUGUGGGGGACAACUCCAACAGAAAUCCCCUGAAAAGCAAAGGUAGGCCUGAAGAGCACUGCCAGUUCCUCAGGCAGCACAAUACGGAGAUCAAAGUAACAUCAACCCCAGUGAAACAAGAAGGCAGGCUAAAUCCAGCAGCUCCUUUCACCUGGGGGAUUCUGGAAGGCAGCUACAUGGGGAAUUGCUGUCACAGAGAUGGUUCACAAUUCAGCAUACUCUUCGAGGUGAAAUGUGCAGAACUGCAGGAUCCCACUGUACUUUGCUGUGUCUGGGUGGUGAAAGAGCUUUCACAGAGCCAAAAGGAAGCUGUAGCAAAGACUCAGCAUUUGUUUGCCAGCCUAGCAAACUCUCCCCAGUCUGUGGCUGAUCUUUCUACUAAAAGUCUUGGAGAAGCCAUCAGAUCAACUUCACUUUUUGACAGCUCCCGAAGAGCUGAAGAUCUUGAAGGAUUAAGAGCAUGUGAAGGAGAAUAUGCAAAAAAUUACAGCACUCUCAAUCUUAUUGGCAAAGGCUCUUUUGGCUUUGUCUGGAGUGCCAGGAGCAAGAAGGAUCACCAGGAGGUUGUUGUAAAGUUCAUCUGGAAGGAGAGGGUGCUGGAGGACUGCUGGGUAGAUGAUCCUGACCUGGGGAGGGUCACUCAAGAAAUUGCAAUCCUGCAGAAGCUGCAGCACCCCAGUAUCAUUAAGGUGCUAGAUGUAUUUGAAAAUGAAUGCUUCUUCCAACUGGUGAUGGAGAAGCAUGGAUCUGGUCUGGACCUCUUUGCAUUUAUUGAUAAUCAGCCCAACUUGGAUGAGCCAUUAGCAAGUUAUAUAUUCAGACAGCUUGUAUCAGCUGUUGGGUAUCUCCACUGUAGGAACAUCCUGCACAGAGAUAUCAAGGAUGAAAAUAUUGUCAUUGCUGAAGAUUUCACAAUUAAGUUAGUGGACUUUGGUUCUGCUGCCUACCUGGAACCUGGGAAAUUAUUUUAUACCUUCUGUGGGACAAUUGAAUACUGCUCACCAGAAGUGCUGUCUGGCAAACCGUAUGUCACCCUCUGAAACGUCAUUUUUAUGCCAUCACACCAAAAAAAACCCCAUGUGGGCAGGGCUGGAACGGAGAAGCCAAGCUGCUGUGCCAUUGGAACGCUGCUAGAGUAACCAACCACAGGAAACUGCAGCGAUGUUUGAGGCACUGCAGUGGCAGAAGUCACUGUGAAGGUUUUUGCGUACGAAGUAGGGCAAUCUAGUGACAGAAGUCAAGUUGUAAAAGCUUGAAUAUGUACUAAGUUGUUUCUAAAUCUGUUGUCAGGCUUUCUCUAGCAAAAGCUGCUCUUUCAGAGAGGUGGAGAUAGCACCUUCUUGCAUGUCUGUGCUUUGUAUCCUCCCACUCUCAUCUUCUCUGUUCUUUUUUCUACAUGUUUCCCUCUGUUUUUGCAGUUUGAUCCUUGUUCAUCUCCCCACUGAUUUUUGUACUCCUUGGGACUCAAGGAUUCUUUUCUUGCUGCUGUUUUGGAUGUGCUACCUAAAUCUUGGCUCUUUUCCCUCUUCUUUCCCUCUCCAAGAGCUCUGUAGCUAGCAGCUGGUGCUCUCAUAGCUGCUCCACAAGGAAGCCUCCCCAGCACAGGGGUGGCACUGCUGUGGUUGUACAUGCCUGGAUGGAUCUUGCUCCUGCUUCACUGCUGUUUCCAUGGAUCCUUCAGGCAGCUUCUCCUAAAGGAGUGGGGGAAAAAGCAAUGCAAGGAGGAGAGGAAGUUCCUGCUGGGAAUGAGAUGAAAGGUGAAGCAAGCAGCUCUACCCUGGGAGUUCCACCUCUUACUGUGUGAAGGAACUAGCAUGUUUUCUCAGAUGGAAUUGAGAUGGUUAAUAGUUAUUUCCAAAUAACUUUUGUUUUGAAAGGGCUGGGAGGGUGUUUUUGCUCUUCCAGUUAAAUAUUUACUUCACAGUUUUGGCUGAUGAUGAAGAAGGUGGAGGGGUACCAUGGCCCUGAGCUGGAGAUGUGGUCGCUUGGCAUCACCCUUUACACUCUGGUGCUUGGGGAGAAUCCCUUCUGUGAGCUGGAGGAGGCCUUGGCAGCUGUCCUGAGUCC